rnacentral:rRNA from 1 species
GUCCACGCCCUAAACGAUGUCUACUAGUUGUUGGGGGAGUUAAAUCCCUUGGUAACGCAGCUAACGCGUGAAGUAGACCGCCUGGGGAGUACGGUCGCAAGAUUAAAACUCAAAGGAAUUGACGGGGGCCCGCACAAGCGGUGGAUGAUGUGGUUUAAUUCGAUGCAACGCGAAAAACCUUACCUACCCUUGACAUGCCAGGAAGCCUGCAGAAAUGCAGGGGUGCCCGAAAGGGAACCUGGACACAGGUGCUGCAUGGCUGUCGU